rnacentral:rRNA from 1 species
GACGAACCGUGCGAACGUUAUUCGGAAUCACUGGGCUUAAAGGGCGCGUAGGCGGGCCAUCAAGUCAGAGGUGAAAGCCCCCGGCUCAACCGGGGAAGUGCCUUUGAUACUGAUUGCCUCGAGGGGGAUAGGGGCGUGCGGAACUUCCGGUGGAGCGGUGAAAUGCGUAGAUAUCGGAAGGAACACCGGUGGCGAAAGCGCUCUACUGGGCCAUAACUGACACUCAGGGACGAAAGCUAGGGGAGCGAAUGGG